rnacentral:rRNA from 1 species
GGGUUGUGAGGUUAAGCGACUAAGCGUACACGGUGGAUGCCCUGGCAGUCAGAGGCGAUGAAGGACGUGCUAAUCUGCGAAAAGCGUCGGUAAGGUGAUAUGAACCGUUACAGCCGGCGAUGUCCGAAUGGGGAAACCCAGUGCAAUUCGUUGCACUAUCGUUAACUGAAUACAUAGGUUAACGAGGCGAACCGGGGGAACUGAAACAUCUAAGUACCCCGAGGAAAAGAAAUCAACCGAGAUUCCCCCAGUAGCGGCGAGCGAACGGGGAGCAGCCCAGAGUCUGAAUCAGCUUGUGUGUUAGUGGAACGGUCUGGAAAGUCCGACGGUACAGGGUGAUAGUCCCGUACACCAAAAUGCACAGGUUGUGAACUCGAAGAGUAGGGCGGGACACGUGGUAUCCUGUCUGAAUAUGGGGGGACCAUCCUCCAAGGCUAAAUACUCCUGACUGACCGAUAGUGAACCAGUACCGUGAGGGAAAGGCGAAAAGAACCCCGGCGAGGGGAGUGAAAAAGAACCUGAAACCGUGUACGUACAAGCAGUGGGAGCACCUUCGGGUGUGACUGCGUACCUUUUGUAUAAUGGGUCAGCGACUUAUAUUCUGUAGCAAGGUUAACCGUAUAGGGGAGCCGCAGGGAAACCGAGUCUUAACUGGGCGUUAAGUUGCAGGGUAUAGACCCGAAACCCGGUGAUCUAGCCAUGGGCAGGUUGAAGGUUGGGUAACACUAACUGGAGGACCGAACCGACUAAUGUUGAAAAAUUAGCGGAUGACUUGUGGCUGGGGGUGAAAGGCCAAUCAAACCGGGAGAUAGCUGGUUCUCCCCGAAAGCUAUUUAGGUAGCGCCUCGUGAACUCAUCUUCGGGGGUAGAGCACUGUUUUGGCUAGGGGGUCAUCCCGACUUACCAACCCGAUGCAAACUACGAAUACCGAAGAAUGUUAUCACGGGAGACACACGGCGGGUGCUAACGUCCGUCGUGAAGAGGGAAACAACCCAGACCGCCAGCUAAGGUCCCAAAGUCAUGGUUAAGUGGGAAACGAUGUGGGAAGGCACAGACAGCCAGGAUGUUGGCUUAGAAGCAGCCAUCAUUUAAAGAAAGCGUAAUAGCUCACUGGUCGAGUCGGCCUGCGCGGAAGAUGUAACGGGGCUAAACCAUGCACCGAAGCUGCGGCAGCGACACUAUGUGUUGUUGGGUAGGGGAGCGUUCUGUAAGCCUGCGAAGGUGUGCUGUGAGGCAUGCUGGAGGUAUCAGAAGUGCGAAUGCUGACAUAAGUAACGAUAAAGCGGGUGAAAAGCCCGCUCGCCGGAAGACCAAGGGUUCCUGUCCAACGUUAAUCGGGGCAGGGUGAGUCGACCCCUAAGGCGAGGCCGAAAGGCGUAGUCGAUGGGAAACAGGUUAAUAUUCCUGUACUUGGUGUUACUGCGAAGGGGGGACGGAGAAGGCUAUGUUAGCCGGGCGACGGUUGUCCCGGUUUAAGCAUGUAGGCUGGUUAUCCAGGCAAAUCCGGAUAAUCAAGGCUGAGGUGUGAUGACGAGGCACUACGGUGCUGAAGUAACAAAUGCCCUGCUUCCAGGAAAAGCCUCUAAGCAUCAGGUAACAUCAAAUCGUACCCCAAACCGACACAGGUGGUCAGGUAGAGAAUACCAAGGCGCUUGAGAGAACUCGGGUGAAGGAACUAGGCAAAAUGGUGCCGUAACUUCGGGAGAAGGCACGCUGGUGUGUAGGUGAAGUCCCUGCGGAUGGAGCUGAGACCAGUCGAAGAUACCAGCUGGCUGCAACUGUUUAUUAAAAACACAGCACUGUGCAAACACGAAAGUGGACGUAUACGGUGUGACGCCUGCCCGGUGCCGGAAGGUUAAUUGAUGGGGUUAUCCGUAAGGAGAAGCUCUUGAUCGAAGCCCCGGUAAACGGCGGCCGUAACUAUAACGGUCCUAAGGUAGCGAAAUUCCUUGUCGGGUAAGUUCCGACCUGCACGAAUGGCGUAAUGAUGGCCAGGCUGUCUCCACCCGAGACUCAGUGAAAUUGAACUCGCUGUGAAGAUGCAGUGUACCCGCGGCAAGACGGAAAGACCCCGUGAACCUUUACUAUAGCUUGACACUGAACAUUGAGCCUUGAUGUGUAGGAUAGGUGGGAGGCUUUGAAGCGUGGACGCCAGUCUGCGUGGAGCCAACCUUGAAAUACCACCCUUUAAUGUUUGAUGUUCUAACGUUGGCCCCUGACCGGGGUUGCGGACAGUGUCUGGUGGGUAGUUUGACUGGGGCGGUCUCCUCCCAAAGCGUAACGGAGGAGCACGAAGGUUAGCUAAUCCUGGUCGGACAUCAGGAGGUUAGUGCAAUGGCAUAAGCUAGCUUGACUGCGAGCGUGACGGCGCGAGCAGGUGCGAAAGCAGGUCAUAGUGAUCCGGUGGUUCUGAAUGGAAGGGCCAUCGCUCAACGGAUAAAAGGUACUCCGGGGAUAACAGGCUGAUACCGCCCAAGAGUUCAUAUCGACGGCGGUGUUUGGCACCUCGAUGUCGGCUCAUCACAUCCUGGGGCUGAAGUAGGUCCCAAGGGUAUGGCUGUUCGCCAUUUAAAGUGGUACGCGAGCUGGGUUUAGAACGUCGUGAGACAGUUCGGUCCCUAUCUGCCGUGGGCGCUGGAGAAUUGAGGGGGGCUGCUCCUAGUACGAGAGGACCGGAGUGGACGCAUCACUGGUGUUCGGGUUGUCAUGCCAAUGGCACUGCCCGGUAGCUAAAUGCGGAAGAGAUAAGUGCUGAAAGCAUCUAAGCACGAAACUUGCCCCGAGAUGAGUUCUCCCUGAGACUAUAAGUCUCCUGAAGGAACGUUAAAGACGAUGACGUUGAUAGGCCGGGUGUGUAAGCGCAGCGAUGCGUUGAGCUAACCGGUACUAAUGAACCGUGAGGCUUAACCUUACAACGCCGAAG